AUGUAGUCUCACAGUUACCUACUUUCCGUCAAUGUUUGAACAACUUAAAAAUUGAUCAAAGUGAUGUUUUAUUAGACAAGAGACCAAGACAGAAGCUAGCAGAAACAGACAGUAUGACAGUUAUGACUUAACUCAGUUUUUCAUUUUAUUCAGUGUAACUCUCUUCUUUUCGUUUUAUAUUCUUCUUAUUCAUUUAUUUUUUUUGUGUUAUUCCUGUAAAUACCACACAAAAGAAGACAAAAAAGGACGAUAAACCAACAGAAACCCAUUCCCAUCUACCUAUUCCUCCUCCUAUUUACAGAUCAACUGUUUUUGUUUAUCCAGAAACAAAUCUUCCCACUGGAAUAGAAAACUUCAAUCAUCAUUUAUAAAAAUAAAAAUGUUACUACUCUCCUUGUAAUACGGAAUGAAUAAUAUGAACAGAUUUAUUUGAAUACAAUAGUAAUUUAAUUUUCUUUUUAUAUGGACAUGCCUACAACUAUUAACAUUUUAUAAUUACAGAAAAGAGAUGUUAAGAUGUACUGCACUUCACAAUUCAAAUCAAGGAGUUUUAAUCAUCUGAUUGAGCAUCAUCAAACUUGAGAAAGAUCAGGAAAUUAGGAAAGGACGAAUCAAGCUGAAUAAGAGGAGAGAUCUUGUCUGUUCUUAAACAAGAAUUUGGAACUUGCCAGCUAAAUUGAAUUGAGCAUCAUCAAACUUGAGAAAGAUCAGGAAAUCAGGAAAGGACGAAUCAAGCUGAAUAAGAGGAGAGAUCUUGUCUGUUCUUAAACAAGAAUUUGGAACUUGCCAGCUAUACCAGAUCUGAAAACCAAGGCUACUCAUUUGAUGCAUCAAAAAUACUCUAAAAUGUUGGAAAGGAGAAUGUGAGAACCAGAUGACUAUGUUUAGAUGACUACGCGUAGAUGAUAUUGGUAGAACAAGCGAGAGUUAAGACUUCCCAACAUGCCGAAUGAUUCAUGGAAAGGGAGGGAAAUUGAAUUGGAGAAAGUCGAUGUGUUGCAGCAGAAUCAGGAGUUAGAUGACAACUUGGCUUUUAUAGACAGGAGAGGGGAAAAACAACAGAUAAAGGGAGAGAAGUUAAAUAUCAAAUCGAACCGAUUUAGGUUCGUCAAUCUCGAUAAUAUCGUCAUCUAAUAAAUAAUUAUUAAAAAUUUCUUCU